rnacentral:misc_RNA from 1 species
CAACCCUCGAGCCCCCGCUGGCUUGGCGUUGGGGCGCGGCCCGGUCCGUCCCUAGGGCGGCCGGCCGGCCCUGAAAUCUAGUGGCGGCCUCGCCUCGUCCUCCCCUGCGUAGUAGCACACCUCGCACCGGAGCGCGGCGCGGCCACGCCGUUAAGCAGGAGCGCUUUCGCGUUCCUCUCUCAAGG